CAUAUACGAGCUGUACCAGGAGAAGGCCUCCUCCGCUAGGAAGACGUCUGGGCUAUGCGCUGUACCACCAGGAGGCCACCGACCUUUGCCAGGCCUUUUGCGUGACACCGACUUCACGUCCCCCUCGUGCGCCUGCGCGAAUCCUAGGCGUCCUUGCUGCUGCCGCUGCCGCGAUAGAGGCUCGGUGGAAGGGUGAACCUUGAAGGUGAUUUGGACCGGCGGCGGCAGCAGCGGCGGCAAAACGAGGCCGACAUGCAGAGUUGGAGCCGGGUCUAUUGCGCUCUCGCCCAGAGAAGCCAUUUUAAUCGGAUUCAACAUGGCUUGCAAGGCAUUUCUGUAGUGCCAUUAAGACCCUAUGCUGACCAAGCUGAUGCUGAUGUUACUGUCGUUGGAUCUGGUCCAGGAGGAUAUGUUGCUGCCAUCAAAGCUGCUCAACUUGGCUUUAAGACUGUUUGUGUGGAGAAGAAUGAAACCCUGGGUGGGACCUGUUUGAAUGUUGGAUGCAUACCUUCUAAGGCCUUGCUAAACAAUUCACACCUGUAUCAUUUGGCACAUGGAAAAGACUUCGCUAGUAGAGGAAUUGAAGUUACAGGACUCAGAUUGAAUUUGGAGAAGAUGAUGGAACAGAAGAGUGGUGCAGUGAAGUCCUUAACAGGUGGAAUUGCUCACUUGUUUAAACAGAAUAAGGUGACACAUGUUUCUGGGUUUGGAAAAAUAACAGGCAAAAACCAGGUCACAGCAACCAAAGAUGAUGGCAGCACUCAGGUUAUUAAUACAAAGAACAUCCUCAUAGCUACUGGAUCAGAAGUAACACCUUUCCCUGGAAUUAUGAUUGAUGAGGAUACAGUUGUAUCAUCCACUGGUGCACUUUCUUUGAAGCAAGUCCCUGAAAAAAUGGUGGUCAUCGGUGCGGGGGUCAUUGGUGUAGAACUGGGUUCAGUCUGGCAGCGUCUAGGUGCAGAUGUGACAGCUGUGGAGUUCUUGGGCCAUGUUGGUGGAUUGGGCAUUGAUAUGGAGAUAUCUAAGAACUUCCAGCGUAUUCUCCAGAAGCAAGGGCUUAAAUUUAAACUGAAUACUAAAGUUACUGGUGCUACCAAGAAACCAGAUGGAAAGAUUGAUGUUUCGAUUGAAGCUGCUGCUGGUGGCAAGGCAGAAGUGAUUACUUGUGAUGUACUUCUGGUUUGCAUUGGUCGGCGACCUUUCACUAAGAAUCUUGGUCUAGAAGAUGUGGGUAUUGAACUAGAUAACAGGGGUAGAAUCCCUAUCAACAACAGAUUCCAAACCAAAAUUCCAAACAUAUACGCUAUUGGUGAUGUAGUUGCUGGACCGAUGCUCGCUCACAAAGCUGAAGAUGAAGGUAUUUUGUGUGUUGAGGGAAUAGCUGGAGGUGCAGUUCACAUUGACUACAACUGUGUGCCCUCAGUAAUUUAUACACACCCUGAAGUUGCUUGGAUUGGAAAAUCUGAAGAACAGCUGAAAGAAGAGGGGAUAGAAUACAAAGUUGGCAAGUUUCCUUUUGCUGCUAACAGCAGAGCUAAGACAAAUGCUGACACGGACGGCUUGGUGAAGAUGCUAAGUCACAAGUCAACAGACAGGAUGCUGGGAGCUCAUAUUCUAGGCGCAGGUGCUGGGGAAAUGAUUAAUGAAGCUGCUCUUGCAAUGGAGUAUGGAGCAUCCUGUGAAGACGUUGCCAGAGUUUGCCAUGCACAUCCAACUGUAUCUGAAGCCUUCAGGGAAGCCAAUCUAGCAGCGUCAUUUGGCAAAGCGAUCAAUUUCUAAAGCAAAAGGAUAUCUAUAAUGUACAAAGCCUAUUUUCCUGUGAAAAUUGACUGAAGGUUUUGUGGAAAGCUGGGACUUUUGAAUACAACUAGGACUUAACUAAGUGAACUUUUCUUUACAACAUCAGUGAAUUUAAACAAAUGGGAGUGGGGAAAUCACCCAACAGCUGUAUAAUAAACAAGUUUGCAUUACUGCUUGUUAGGACAGUCUAGGUUUUCAGAAGACAAGCUACAGCAAUACAGCUUAAGGUUGUACAGUCCCAUCAUGUACUUGGGCAAAAUAUAAUUUCUGGUAUUAUCCAGUGUUGCUGUUCUGUCAUUGCUGAGGAACUGAUAUUGUAAGAUCAUGAUACUUAAAAUAUGCCACUGUCACCUUUACACAAUGCUAUUGUGGUAAUUUAAGUGAAAAGGAUAGUAGGUUUCAUCACAUUUUUAACUAAGGCUAGACUUUUUCCCAGCUGUUUUCCUUGAUACAUGACAAAUACAUAAAACUAGUUUUGCUCUCUAUAAAGAGCCAUUUACAUCAAGGAAUUUUUAUAAAAUGGAAAAACAUGUUUUAUUGAAACUUUCUGAAAGAAGAUCAAGUUGUUUUGGAGAAGCGAAAAUUGGAUGGAAAUUAAUUGUGUUUUGCACCAAAGUUUGUAGAGAUCUUCAGCUACUUGGUCUCUCUCUUUCUCCCCCGCCACCCAUGUUUUCAACAAGAUUUGUACCUAAGGAAUGGAAGGCAAAGGCGAGAAUUAACUUUUAUUUGUUCAUAUCUUAGUAUAGAUGCAGAAUUCUCAUGGGAGAGAUUGCCUCAGGACUGUGUGAUGAUGCUUGGUAUUGAGAAAUUAGGAUCAUGAAAUGCUAAGUAGAAAGCCAACACCUUUUCAAGCCUUCCUGAUUUAAAUAGAAUGAUUACUUUAAAAAACCCUACCAUGACAAUCCCAGUUUGUUUUCUUGUCACCUGUCACUAUGUGAUAUACUAGGAGUAAGAUACUACUUGGAAAUGCAUUAAAAUGGCAUGUAUGAGUGGAAGGAAAAUAGCACUAGCACUAUUCUGCAAAUGGAAUAGGUUAUUCAAAACUAUUGCAUAAGCAGACCAACUUCUUUGGAGUUAUUAGCACUCUAGUGGCAGACUCCUGUGAGUUUCCAUUCAUUCGCACAGCUGAAUACAGCUCAUGGAAUCCAAGGUGCAUUUUCCUUGCUUCUCUCCCUAUGCCAGUGCUUCACAAAACUGAUCUCAUGACAUACACACCCCUUAUGGUGGAGGAUCACUGUUUUUUGUCUCCAGAUUUGUAGAAAAAGUAUCUGUAGCACACCCCUAAGAUAUAGAUUACAUAAUGAGCAGAAUACCAGGUCAUUUAAAUGGUGGAAUGCUUAACACUUCCUUUCUUAGAAAUAGGGGAAGAAUUGUGUGUAUAGAACCUGUUUUAUGAUCUGUAACUGGCAGAUACUAGUCGAUCUAGAGGGAAUGAGGUAUUUGUUUCUAUCCAAUCUGAAUGCUAGUUUUUUUAAUAGAUGUUUUUCAUAUGCCCAUCUGCAUGUGCACAGGUCAGAGAACUUUAAUAUAGCCUUUGAGAUUGCUGCUAAGGUAGUUUGAGUUGUUAAUCUGUGUCACUACUCCUCUGGCUUUGAGCAUUAUUGUCUGAAAUGUGCAACCACAACCAUAGAUUUCCCUCCACAAUACUUUCUUCAUGUUACUUGUGCACACACAUUGCAUGGUCUUGCUGAGACUUGCUCAAAAGCACCUUAAUGGCUCAGGCAGACAAGAUUUUCUAGGCUGUGCCAAUAAAAGAACCUGCGAAAGUAAGAGGGGGCAAAGGGCAAAAGUGAGGGAGAUGAGAAACAGAAAAGGCUUGAAUACCAGGAUUUGCUUCUCAGGUGGCUCUGGGUUGAAGAUUUAUCCGAUUCUUUAUUAUUUCUAGAUUAUUUAUUCUUUUCAAUUUUCAAAAUUAAAAUUGGAGAUGGAAACAUGGGCAAAAGCACAGUAAAUGCUGAAAGGUUUUCUUUGAUUAGUAAAAUGAAUCUUUUUACCAAAUGGGGCAAGGUUGAAGCCGUGCCCACUAGUUAUAACACUGAAAGUUAGAAGAAACUUAACCAAUUGUCUUAAGGGUUCGUGUUCCUCUUCUGUAAACUAAUUCAGACACCUCAACUAAUGUUAAAAGGGUAUUUUAUUUUCUGUUUUCCAAAGAAUACAAGUACAAAGUAUCAAAACUAAUUAUUGCAGGUAAAAUUGGAAACUACUAACUGCUCCAGGAGAACUUAAACAAGUACCUGACAUAGUAAUAGUCAAAACAUGAUGAAAGAAGUUACAAUCUCUCUCUCUUUGUUCCAGGUGUCCUUUCCCCUCACGCUGCAAAUUUUUGGCCCUCUGUGGCUUUAUUAUAUGGACUAGGAAUUUAGCUUUCCUAACAUCAGCUGACAUAGUGGAGGGAGGUUUGGAGCUGGGUUCAUAAAUUCUUAAGUAGACCUCUUUAAAUUGAAAUUUACUUGUUUUAAAAUCCCUUCUUUUGAAGCCAAUAUUUUAUUAGAGUACUUAAAGGGUUAAUUAACAUUGGUUAAAUGAAUCAUAUACUUUGUUACAAAAGUAGUGUUUAUUUUAUAUAGCAAAAGAAAAAUUCUUUGGUUUCAAGGAUAUUAAAGCUGGUAUUUAGUCAGGUUACCAGGCCUUAAAGUGUGAAAAGAAUGUAUAUUGGUUUAAGACUUGUCUUCCUUUAUCUUAGGAUUUACAUGUCUUUUUUUUUUGCUCCCUCUUCCAAUCAUUCACUAGCAUGUGCUGUAAACAGCAACUUUUUGGCUGAUGGCCUGCAAGAGACUACGGACUGUUUCUUCUAGCUGCGCCACUUGCUUGGCUUUGUCUUCUAGAACUCUUUGAUUCUUCUCAUAUGCGUUCUCCAAUUCUGCAAGGAAAAGAGACAUAAGAAUUGGGAUUAUUCUAAUGGGGGCCGAUGUAAAGAUGAAAAUCGAAGGAAAUUAAAUCUUGUAUUAGUGGUAUGGCUUUACCAAAUGUGGAGGCUUCCAAUAAAAAAAGAGAAACAGC